rnacentral:lncRNA from 1 species
AUUCGUAAAAUGGAAUAAAUAUAGGUUUAUUUUAAUUUUGCAAUAAUAUAAUUAGUAAUUUUUGCACACAUCUAAUUAAUAGAUUGAGAAGUAUGUUUAAGAUAUGAUUAAUGUUUAGAAAUAAAAACCAGCACAGUUAUAUUCUAUGUAGUGUUCAGUUUUUUGAAAAUCAAAGGAAUCUUGAAAAUAAAUAGAAUAUAUAGGCAAUCCCCAACUUAAUAGAUCCAAUAUAUGUAGAUUUAUACUUAUGUAAAGAUUCACUGAUUAAAACAAAAAUAUACUGAUCAUAGUGAAUAAAGCUAUAAUAUAGAAUAUGAGCAUUUUUUCACCUAACUUCAUCAGUUAUCAUAUAAAGUGGCUAUCAGAGAGGGGCAAGAGGGGCUGCUACCCCAGGCCUUACAAUUUUGGAGGCCUCAAUUUAUAACUCACUAUGUUAGAAAUAUAUAUUUGUAUAUUUUUAUACUGUUUCAGUAUUUGUCAAAAUUUGAAAUUCUCUCUCAAUAUUUUCACUUUUCUUAUAUAUACCUUACCACUAUACUGUAUAUAUAUAUAUCAAUUUUAUCUUUUUUUUUUUUUUGGUAUCCUUAUAAAUAGUAGUUGCCCUGAGCCUUGCAUUUUCUCAGAAAGUCCCUGAUUAUAUAUAUAUAUAUGUAUGUAUGUAUUUUAUAAGCUUAUUAGAUUAGUUUUAAUUAACAAGCUGUGC